AGCUCCCUGAAUUCGUACCAAGAUUUCGUCAGACACCAGACCAUCAGGAACAAUGAAACUUCCAAGAUAAUUGAAGCG
rfam:Schistosoma haematobium scaffold531_10, whole genome shotgun sequence.